rnacentral:rRNA from 1 species
UACCCCGAGUGCCGUCCGNUGAGGAUGGCUUUUCCUUGGUGUAACUAGCCGGGGGAAUAAGGAGAGGGCAAGACUGGUGUCAGCCGCCGCGGUAAUACCAGCUCUCCGAGUGGUGGGGAUGAUUAUUGGGCUUAAAGCGUCCGUAGCCGGCUUAACAAGUCUCCNGUUAAAUNCANCGAC